rnacentral:tRNA from 1 species
GGCCUGUUACCUCAGUCGGCAGAGCGUGGUGCUAAUAACGCUAAGGUCGUGAGUUCGAUCCUCACACAGGCCA